UACGUAGGGUCCGAGCGUUGUCCGGAAUUAUUGGGCGUAAAGAGCUCGUAGGCGGUUUGUCGCGUCUGCUGUGAAAACCUAAGGCUCAACCUUGGGCUUGCAGUGGGUACGGGCGGACUAGAGUGCGGUAGGGGUGACUGGAAUUCCUGGUGUAGCGGUGGAAUGCGCAGAUAUCAGGAGGAACACCGGUGGCGAAGGCGGGUCUCUGGGCAGUAACUGACGCUGAGGAGCGAAAGCGUGGGGAGCGAACAGG
rnacentral:rRNA from 1 species